CCUACGGGCGGCAGCAGUGGGGAAUAUUGCGCAAUGGGCGAAAGCCUGACGCAGCGACGCCGCGUGAGGGAUGAAGGUCUUCGGAUCGUAAACCUCUGUCAGCAGGGAAGAACGGUCAGUGGGCUAAUCAGCAGUGAAUUGACGGUACCUGCAAAGGAAGCACCGGCUAACUCCGUGCCAGCAGCCGCGGUAAUACGGAGGGUGCGAGCGUUAAUCGGAAUUAAGGGGCGGAAAGCGCUCGUAGGCGGUAUGUCAAGUCAAGGGUGAAAUCCCCGCGCUCCACGUGGUAACGGCCUUUGAAACUUGCAAACUGGAGUGUGUGCGAGGCUAGUUGAAUUCCAGGUGU
rnacentral:rRNA from 1 species